UUAUUACCACCGACACUGAUCUCCCCGCGUUUCGAGAAGCUCCGGCGUUUCGAAACGGCAGAGAAUGCUUCAAAACGGUAUGGUCACCGGAGGAUCGCACACACAACCCUUCGAUCAUCCACAUCGCGAUGACUCUCGACGCCAUCUACCUCCGCGGCUCGGUCGCCGGAGUCUUCUCCGUUCUCCAGCACGCCUCUUGCCCCGAAAACGUCGUUUUCCACUUCAUCGCAACUCAACGCCGCAGCCCCGAUCUCCGCCGCAUAAUCUCCUCCACGUUCCCUUACUUAGAUCUACGCCAUCAGAAGAAGGAUCGAAAUCCACCACUAAUCAACGAAUCUCUCGGUACUGAUGGCGUCUCCUCCGACUUGUCUCGUCUUCCACCUCAGAAGAAGGAUCAAAACCCAUCACAAUCGACGACUCUCUCAGUCAUCACGGUGUCUCCUCUGUCGGUUCUCGUCUUCUACGACGUACGACGACUCUAUCAGUCUUCACGGCGUCUCCUCUUCUGGCGGGCGAUGUCUUCAGUUUGGAGAUCAGCUUCUGGUAAGUAUGUAACUUCCUCAUCUUUAUCGUCUGGAUUAGUGAUGCAUAUGCUUGUAUGUAGUUGUCUCGGGGUAUUGAUAGUCAUGAAUCAAGAUAUUAGUGUGCUUAAUUGUUGCCCUUUGAUUCAUGUAACCGAUGAAUUGUUUUACAUUUUGAAGCUUUCAGUUGAUUAAAUUGAAGCUUUCCUACGCAAUGUUGUGGUUUUGAUAAUUAUCAGAUAUUGCUGAUAGUCAUGCGUGUUUAUUUCUUCAAAGUUUGUGGUUUUACAGAUUUCACUUCCUUUUCUAUGUGUCAAUGGUGAAUAUUGUUGUGAUUGAAGGUGUUUUGCGUUUGAAUUUUCAAGUUAAGGUUUGUCUCUUUAGGAUUUCAAUUUAGUUAGAUAUGUGACAGGAGAAAGCAUGGUAUCAAUUUUGAAUUGUUUUGUGCUUGAAUUUCAUAUGAAGUAGGUUAUCAUAUGUAUUGUCUACUUAACUUCUGUGCUCCAAUGUAAUAUGAAUUUAUUUUUCUAUUUCAGUGCUAGUGGUGGUUGAGGGCAAAGUGAACAGGCUAGUCUAACACAUCCAGUUCUGUGAGACUGUUGGUGAGGUAAGUCUGCAAAACUCUAUAUCAUUUUCUUGCUUUCGUUAUGGAUAAUAGGUAGGUUAAUGAAUGCGUCUGAUGAAAGCUUGUUAGAGUUAGGAUAUGGUUAGUCAAUGCUUGUGAUAAAUGCUUGUUUUAGUAGUUAGUUUAAUGAAUGCUUGUGAUGAAUGGUUGUUUUAGUGAUGCAUUAGGAUAUGGUUAGGUAAUAAAUAAGUUAGAUACAUGUCUACUCAGCUCAACUCUAUUCAAAUCAAAGACUAAAGACAAUUAAAACACCUGUAUCUAACAACAUCUUCAUCUUCCAACAGUAUGUAUGUUUCAAGUUUCAUAAUGUAUGUUUCAAGUUUAUGUGAUCUGUUCUGUGUGAAAUGUGAGACAAAGAAACUCAAGUUUAUGCAAAGCAAGAGUAGUCCUAAGUUUCUGUUCUUGUAUAAUUAUAUAAAUACUUGCUCUUGUGUUCUUUGUCCCAUGUUCUUAUCUUGGUAUUUCAGGUCCAAAAGAGUGUUCUUGUCUUGAUGGAGUUAAAGUAAUCAGGUAAUGGGACCACUCAUUGUCAUCAGAGGCACGUAGCAUGCUAUGUUUCAAACGGAUACAAUACAUGACACUGAUAGUAAUGAAUGUUCCCGCUAUCAUAUUGAGGUUAUCUUCUAAGAAUGGCAUUGACAUUGGCAUCGAGACGAUCAAGUAAGGUUUUCUUGUUUAUGAUUCUUCUUCUUGAGUAAGUGAUCUUCUUCAAUUUUUUUUUAACGCUGGAUAAUUAUGCUAUUACAACUAUGAGAAUUAUUACAGAUGAUUCUACAGCUGACAAUUCUACAUGUGGUAUGAGGAUUCACGCCUUACUGCAUCACCUAAAUCGCCUUAUCGAAUCCACGAUUAACGGUAUUCCUUGCGCCAUGUUGUAGAUCUCUUGUAAUCAUUUUUCAUUUAAUUCGCAUAAUUCCGCCUUCUGUGGGAAUUGAAAUCCAAACCUCCUCGUGUAGAAGCAUUAAUAAACCCUUGGUCAAACCACGAGACCAAGGGGACUUCCAUAAUCUUCUUCAAUUCUUCUAAAAAGUUUAACUUUUUAAGAACCUUUAAUUAAAAAACUCUGAAACCGUUCAAAAUAAAAGUUUAUUAACUAGAGUUCUUAAGUUUACUUAAGUACAUUUAUAUAAUUAAAUAAUUAUUAAGAAAUCCAAAUGGGUUUCAUGAGAUAAUCAUGCCCUAAUACUUAUGCCACUUUCAUUUAGUUACGUUUAUGCUUAAUUAACGCGUAUCUCUGCCAGGUUGGCUCUCUAGACAAUAUCUGCCCCAUAAUUAUUGUAAAUAUCCAAAAAAUACUAACUACUUUACAUCAAUAAAAAUAUUCUAUAAUACAAGUGACGACAAAUUAACAAUUAAUAACGCUUGCCAUUAACGAAACUUGUCUGAAAAUGUCGAAACUACCCCUAAUCCGCGAUUAACAAUUUAACAAAGACACAAAAAGCCGGUUCUCUCUUUCACACUCUUGUCUUCACUCAGACACUCAGUUCAAAACUCAAAAAGUGUCGGCAAUGUGUUUACGUUUAUGUCUGUUUCUGCUGUUUCCAAUCGCGAUUAGCAGCGUUAUUACCACCGACACUGAUCUCCCCGCGUUUCGAGAAGCUCCGGCGUUUCGAAACGGCAGAGAAUGCUUCAAAACGGUAUGGUCACCGGAGGAUCGCACACACAACCCUUCGAUCAUCCACAUCGCGAUGACUCUCGACGCCAUCUACCUCCGCGGCUCGGUCGCCGGAGUCUUCUCCGUUCUCCAGCACGCCUCUUGCCCCGAAAACGUCGUUUUCCACUUCAUCGCAACUCAACGCCGCAGCCCCGAUCUCCGCCGCAUAAUCUCCUCCACGUUCCCUUACUUAGCCUUCC
rnacentral:lncRNA from 1 species